GGCGCCCCGCCCACGGCCCCUCAGGCCCCUCAUGGCCGCCGUGAGGGGGGGGGAUGUCCCCAAGGUCCCGUUUGCGCCCCAAAACAGCUCCCGUUGCCCCCCGGAAUGCUCCAUUUCCACCCCAAACAGCUCCUGCUCCCCCCCGGCCUUCAGGAGAGGCUUUUCCCCUUCUGUUGUGUGAACUUCAUUCCGGUGUGGAAAACUACGUGGUUCAGAGUCCAAGCGGAGAAAAAAGCCGAAAAUACAAACCGUGAUUCCGAAGGUAGCUGUCAACGUCGUAUGAGGAAGGCAGGCCCAGCCCGAGUGACCCUGUGACCUACAAAGGACAAGAGAGCCAGCAGCCUGGAGCAGGCAUUCCAAGGAGGCUUUUCCAGGAACCACCAGCGUUCUGAAUGCCGCCUCACGAUUUCUGGGAAGCACGACUCCCAGCUCGGUCUGCAGAAAGGUAGACAGCUCUCAGAUUAUAUAUAGCAGCAAGUGGGCUGGGAGGAGAAGCACUGGGCUGCAUGGAGCAGGAGGCUGCUCUGGAGAAAUGCAGGGAGUGUCUCUGGUGCAGCACAAAGCACGGUAGCACCUGGCGAGUGGAGCCGGGCCAGCACUGGCCUGCUGGCAGCUGGCACUGAUGCAGUGAAGGAGAGCCCUGGGCAGUGGCAGGGGCAGCUUGGGUGCAUGCAGGUUGAUUCCUUGCUCUCAGCUCUUCAUCCUGUUCUACCCUCUGCCACGGGACACCUUUCACUAGCCCAGGCUGCUCCAAGCCCCAUCCAACCUCGGACACUUCGGGGAUGGGGCAGCCACAGCUCCUCUGGCAGCCUGUGCCAGGGCCUCACCACCCUCACAGGGAAGAAUUCCUGCCCAAAAUCCAAUCAAAACCUCCUCUCUUUCAGUUUAAAGCCUUUAAUGACUCAGCCCAUUUAUUGAGAGUCCUUUAAGUAAUGAUGUCCACAUCUCCACUGGCUCAUUCCAGUCGAUGCCAGACCUUUGCCUACUUUGCCCAGUGUCUGUGGCCUGUGAGCCACAGAUUCCUCCAGCUCUGAAUGGUUCCCUCUGUCCUCCUGUCCUAUAUGUAUGGGCUCUUUAUUCAACUGCAGCCCCCAUUCUGUCAGCCCCAUGGCAGGAGUUUGGAAGGAGAAAUCCCCAUUUCAGUGCUGAGCUCCUAAGCACUGCUAUCAGGAGGGGGCUGAGCUCUGCCCUUUGAUCUCUGGCUGGUCUGGCCUCUCCCAAACAUUCCCAAAUGUUAAAAAGAUGUUUAAAUCCUCUCUUGCCUUUUGAUUUGUGUCGAAACAGAGCAACAAAUUUUAAAUACAUUACAAAUUAAGGAAGUGGAAGAGUCACUGUAGUUUUCAAGCCUUCAGGAAAUUUUAUAGAGUCAAACAAAUCAGCAGAUUUGAUAUUCCUGGGCCAAGCUCAAGAAACACUUCCAAUAGUACAGGUACAGCUGCACCUUUCACCUCUUCCGUGGUGUCACUUUACCAGGUGUUGUGUCAAACAUUCCCAGUGCCAAACCAGCCCCUCUGGCACUCAGGGAUCUCUCAGCCUGAUGAGGAACUCUCUGUCAUCUCAAAUUGGAUUUAGGGAAAAGAAAUGCAAGGCACUGUACUGUGAUUCUCACCAAAGAAUUCCUCCCUAAAGAGAGGGAACACACACAAAUCUCUACAAAUUCCAGGGAUACAUUUACACACAGGUAUAUCUGGCAUACAAAACCACUGGAUUUCUUCUUCUUUUUUUUUUUUUUUUUUUUUUUUUUUUUUUUUUUUUUUUUAGGGAAGUGGGUCUAUUCUUUCUGAGCUUUAAUUUGAAAACCCAGUUGGAACUUGUUAAGUCAAUAAUUAUUCUUGUGAAUGUGGGUCAAACUAUUUUACGUCUCUUCCUCUCUAGAGACUUGGAAGAAGAUUUAAUCUUCCAGCACUCUAAGGCAGGAAGCACCACACUUCCCAUUUUAUUUCAAAAGUCCAAACUGAUUGUCCCAUGGGGGUAAAAGCUGAUGAGGGACAGGGUUGUGUGAGCAAGCAGCAUUGCUAGAGUUCACCUGCAGCUGCUGACACAGGUGCCCAGGAAAGAAUGCCCCCAGCUCUGGUAACAUAUUAGAGUGCCUUGGGAUCCCAUGGAAUUUAUUCUAAAGGUAUGCUGAACAUGUUAUUCAGUUGGGAUAUUGGAGGGUCUAUAGCUUCCCACCUCCCACCUCUGGACACAAAUCCUACGUUCUCUUUUUAAGGCAUUUGCUUUAUUGGACAAAAAAAACCAAACCAACAA